rnacentral:rRNA from 1 species
UACAGAGGUCCCAAGCGUUGUUCGGAUUUACUGGGCGUAAAGGGUGCGUAGGCGGUUGGGUAAGUCUGACGUGAAAUCUCCGGGCCUAACCCGGAAACUGCGUUGGAUACUACCUGACUAGAGGAAUGGAGGGGAGACUGGAAUACUUGGUGUAGCAGUGAAAUGCGUAGAUAUCAAGUGGAACACCAGUGGCGAAGGCGAGCCUCUGGACAUUUCCUGACGCUGAGGCACGAAAGCCAGGGGAGCAAACGGG